GGCCCCUUAGCUCAGCUGGAUAGAGCACCUGCCUUCUAAGCAGGUUGUCGUAGGGGGCGCCA
rnacentral:tRNA from 1 species